rnacentral:tRNA from 1 species
CGAAAUGUAGUUUAACUAAAACAACUUGCUUACACCAAGUUAAUGUUCGUGAAACCCGCGCCGUUUCGA